AGUGGCGUCGUGUUGUCGGCGGUGGCGCUGCAGCGGCGCUGGUACGAGCUGAAGCUGGACACGCGGCAACGCGUAUGUGCCCCCCGCGUGGCGGGCACCCCUCGCCCGCUCUUGGUGCCGAUACACGAGGCCGUCGCGAACAGGUACCCUCACGUGGUGCACUCCAGAGAGCUGUCGACGUGGCGCGACCUGGUGGCGGCGGGGAACGUUCCCGAACCCACGAGCGAGCGCGGGCCGGCGCCGGGCGAGCCUCGUGCGCACGCCGC